rnacentral:rRNA from 1 species
UACGUAGGGUGCAAGCGUUGUCCGGAAUUAUUGGGCGUAAAGGGCGCGUAGGCGGGCUGUCAAGUCCGGGGUGAAAUCCUCCAGCUCAACUGGAGAAUGGCCUCGGAUACUGAUGGUCUCGAGGAGGAUAGGGGCACACGGAACUGUGGGUGGAGCGGUGAAAUGCGUUGAUAUCCACAGGAACUCCGGUGGCGAAAGCGGUGUGCUGGAUCCUUUCUGACGCUGAUGCGCGAAAGCCAGGGGAGCAAACGGG